rnacentral:rRNA from 1 species
AUUGCCUCAGUAACGGCGAGUGAAGCGGCAAAAGCUCAAAUUUGAAAUCUGGCUCUUUCAGAGUCCGAGUUGUAAUUUGUAGAGGAUGCUUCGGCUUACGUUUCGGUCUAAGUUCCUUGGAACAGGACGUCACAGAGGGUGAGAAUCCCGUUUGUGGCCGAGACUUCCGCCAUGUGAAGCUCCUUCGACGAGUCGAGUUGUUUGGGAAUGCAGCUCUAAAUGGGAGGUAAAUUUCUUCUAAAGCUAAAUACCGGCCAGAGACCGAUAGCGCACAAGUAGAGUGAUCGAAAGAUGAAAAGCACUUUGGAAAGAGAGUUAAAAAGUACGUGAAAUUGUUGAAAGGGAAGCGUUUGCGACCAGACUUGCCCGCGGAUGCUCAACCGGUCCUUCGGCCGGUGCACUCUUCCGCGGUCAGGCCAGCAUCAGUUCGAGCGGUUGGAUAAAGGCUUUGGGAAUGUAGCUCUCUUCGGGGAGUGUUAUAGCCCUUUGUGUAAUACAGCCAGCUUGGACUGAGGCCCGCGCUUCGGCUAGGAUGCUGGCGUAAUGGUCGUAAGCGGCCCGUCUUGAAACACGGACCAAGGAGUCUAACAUCUAUGCGAGUGUUUGGGUGUCAAACCCGUGCGCGAAAUGAAAGUGAACGGAGGUGGGAAUCUUCGGAUGCACCAUCGACCGAUCCUGAUGUCUUCGGAUGGAUUUGAGUAAGAGCAUAGCUGUUGGGACCCGAAAGAUGGUGAACUAUGCCUGAAUAGGGUGAAGCCAGAGGAAACUCUGGUGGAGGCUCGCAGCGGUUCUGACGUGCAAAUCGAUCGUCAAAUUUGGGUAUAGGGGCGAAAGACUAAUCGA